rnacentral:rRNA from 1 species
AAUGAACGUUGGCGGCGUGGAUUAGGCAUGCAAGUCGUACGGGCCGCAAGGCCAGUGGCGCAAGGGUGAGUAAUGCGACGGUAACCAACCCCAUGGGUGGGUAUAGCCGCGGGAAACUGCGGGUAAUCCCCAGCGAAGCAAAGCGAUCGGCAUCGAUCGUUUGCCAAAGCUCCGGCGCCGUGGGACGGGCCGUCGUGGUAUUAGGUAGUUGGGGGGGUAACGGCCCACCAAGCCGACGAUGCCUACCGGGCGUGCGAGCGAGGCCCGGCACACUGGGACUUGAAGACGGCCCAGACGCCGACGGGAGGCUGCGGUCGAGAAUCUUCGGCAAUGGGCGCAAGCCUGACCGAGCGACGCCGCGUGGAGGACGAAGGCCUUCGGGUUGUAAACUCCUGUCGAGGGGAAAGAAGGUCCGCAAGGACUUGACUGAUCCCUGGAGGAAGCACGGGCUAAGUUCGUGCCAGCCGCCGCGGUAA